UAGAGUUUGAUCCUGGCUCAGAUUGAACGCUGGCGGCAGGCCUAACACAUGCAAGUCGAACGGUAACAGGAAGAAGCUUGCUUCUUUGCUGACGAGUGGCGGACGGGUGAGUAAUGUCUGGGAAACUGCCUGAUGGAGGGGGAUAACUACUGGAAACGGUAGCUAAUACCGCAUAACGUCGCAAGACCAAAGAGGGGGACCUUCGGGCCUCUUGCCAUCGGAUGUGCCCAGAUGGGAUUAGCUAGUAGGUGGGGUAACGGCUCACCUAGGCGACGAUCCCUAGCUGGUCUGAGAGGAUGACCAGCCACACUGGAACUGAGACACGGUCCAGACUCCUACGGGAGGCAGCAGUGGGGAAUAUUGCACAAUGGGCGCAAGCCUGAUGCAGCCAUGCCGCGUGUAUGAAGAAGGCCUUCGGGUUGUAAAGUACUUUCAGCGGGGAGGAAGGGAGUAAAGUUAAUACCUUUGCUCAUUGACGUUACCCGCAGAAGAAGCACCGGCUAACUCCGUGCCAGCAGCCGCGGUAAUACGGAGGGUGCAAGCGUUAAUCGGAAUUACUGGGCGUAAAGCGCACGCAGGCGGUUUGUUAAGUCAGAUGUGAAAUCCCCGGGCUCAACCUGGGAACUGCAUCUGAUACUGGCAAGCUUGAGUCUCGUAGAGGGGGGGUAGAAUUCCAGGUGUAGCGGUGAAAUGCGUAGAGAUCUGGAGGAAUACCGGUGGCGAAGGCGGCCCCUGGACGAAGACUGACGCUCAGGUGCGAAAGCGUGGGGGAGCAAACAGGAUUAGAUACCCUGGUAGUCCACGCCGUAAACGAUGUCGACUUGGAGGUUGUGCCCUUGAGGCGUGGCUUCCGGAGCUAACGCGUUAAGUCGACCGCCUGGGGAGUACGGCCGCAAGGUUAAAACUCAAAUGAAUUGACGGGGGCCCGCACAAGCGGUGGAGCAUGUGGUUUAAUUCGAUGCAACGCGAAGAACCUUACCUGGUCUUGACAUCCACGGAAGUUUUCAGAGAUGAGAAUGUGCCUUCGGGAACCGUGAGACAGGUGCUGCAUGGCUGUCGUCAGCUCGUGUUGUGAAAUGUUGGGUUAAGUCCCGCAACGAGCGCAACCCUUAUCCUUUGUUGCCAGCGGUCCGGCCGGGAACUCAAAGGAGACUGCCAGUGAUAAACUGGAGGAAGGUGGGGAUGACGUCAAGUCAUCAUGGCCCUUACGACCAGGGCUACACACGUGCUACAAUGGCGCAUACAAAGAGAAGCGACCUCGCGAGAGCAAGCGGACCUCAUAAAGUGCGUCGUAGUCCGGAUUGGAGUCUGCAACUCGACUCCAUGAAGUCGGAAUCGCUAGUAAUCGUGGAUCAGAAUGCCACGGUGAAUACGUUCCCGGGCCUUGUACACACCGCCCGUCACACCAUGGGAGUGGGUUGCAAAAGAAGUAGGUAGCUUAACCUUCGGGAGGGCACUUGCCACUUUGUGAUUCAUGACUGGGGUGAAGUCGUAACAAGGUAACCGUA
rnacentral:rRNA from 1 species